rnacentral:lncRNA from 1 species
CCAGGGAUGGCAUUGUUUCUAUUUGCUGAUAAAUGACUCUGGGGCUGUGAAGACUCAGACCCAAGGAGUGACUCAGAAAGUCAGGGGCCCAUGUCAUUCUGCUCUGGGUUCAGACGUGCACUGCAGCAGCACCGGGACUUGACAGCCCUACGGCUCGAUCAGCUUUCUGUUUUCAUUGCCUUACGAUGCCAUGAGUGGAACUAUUGUCAAAUCAGAGUUCACUCCCCAGCUUUUCAGUCUUUCCCCUAAUUCUUGCUCUAUCAGAGGUCGAGGACAACAGUAUAAUGAUUCAUAGGUUCUACUUCCUGGCAAGUAAUCAUUUUCCCACGGGCCCUUGUGAAUUGAUGAAUAUGAAGACACUAAGAAAGCAGAAAUAGAACUGAGAAGAAUGAAAUAACUGUCUCUACCUUUCUCGAAUUGUCUAAUAUGGAAAGAAUGAAAGACAGCUAAUAAGCAACUCUCUGCAAGAAGACAUAUGGCUUAGGUUCUGCUGAGCUAUUGGUGAUUUGAUUCCAUGCAUAUGUAUUCACUACUGAGAUGGGAUCUUGCUAUGUGGCCCAGGCUGGCCUCAAACUCCUGGCCUCAAGAUAUUUCCCCCUGCCUUGGCCUCUCAAAGUGAAUCUACUUGGAGAGAGUCAAACACAGAAUCCCUUUGAAUUUAAUGGCCAUUCCAGGUGAUUUGAACAGCCAAAUAAGAAACAGGUCCUCUUCAAUGUACAAUCUGCCAAGUAUGAAGUCUGAAUGACCAUCAUUAUUAUGUAUUUAAUGUGCAUAGAAAAUCUAUCUGCAACCUUCCAGAGUGUACCAGAAGUUUGGAAUGUACAUUAUUAUUGGCUCCAUCUCAAACCACUCAUAAAUCAAAGAAAAUAGCAGUUCCAGAGGAAUCAUCAUAGAGGCUUCUAGGCCCCCAUGCUGUGUGAACCUGGUGAGAAAGGGAAGUCUGCUCUCACUGGACACUGGAACUGUUUGUCUCUGUCUCUGCUGUACUUUCCCUGCCUCUACCUCACUUAGUAAAGAAAUCAUCUUUGCUUGAUAACUAAAACAACCAAUAAGGCUGAGAAAGGGGAAAACCCACAUCUGGAUUUAAAUACAAGGUAUUGGGCCAGCUGCUGGGGAUUAAACUUUGAACAAAACAGAUAGAAUCUAUGUCCUCAUGGGAGUGGCUAAUGGGAGAGUCGGAACAAAAAAAUAGCCAAGGAUAAUCCAGCAAAUGAUUUGGUGAAUGCUAUCAAAGAGAGAAAUACACAUGCUCUGGGAACACCAAACAGAGUCUUGCUCUUGUUGCCCAGGCUGGAGUAUGAUGGUGCGAUCUCAGUUCACUGCAACCCCUGCCUCCCAGGUUCAAGUGAUUCUCCUACCUCAGCCUCCUGAGUAGCAGGGAUUAUAGGUACAAGCCACCACACCCGGCUAAUUUUUAUAUUUUUAGUAGAGACGGGGUUUCACCACAUUGGCCAGGCUGGUCUCGAACUCCUGACCUCAGGUAAUCUGCCCCUCGGCCUCCCAAAAUGCUGGGAUUAACAGGCAUGAGCCACAGCACCUGGCUGACUUUGCCUGUUUUAUAAUUUCACACAAUAAAAUCAUGCACUGUGCAUUUCUUUGUAUUGUCUCCUUUCACUCAGCAUAAUGUCUGUGUGAUUCAACCCUGUGGUGAUGUGUCAUUUUUUUAAAAAAAAUUAAGAUAUUUUAUUAUAUGAACAUACCAUAAUUUGUUUAUUCAUUUGGUGAACAUUGUGUUGAUGCCAGGUUUGGGCCAUUAUGAAUAAAGCUGCUUUGAAUGUUUAUGUACAAGUCUUUUGUGUACACAUGUGUUUUUAUUUCUCUUGAGUAAACACCUGGGAGUGGGAUUGCUGGGUUUUAUGCUUAGGUAUGUUUUUGACUUUGUCAGAAACUGCUAAACUGCUUUUCAAAGUAGUUGUACCAUUUUACACUCUCAC